AAAAGUCUUUGCUCCCCAGGCCAGCCACGCAUCAAAAAGGAGCCUCUUGCCGGGAACCCCCUUAGACUGUGGUUGACACGGCAUCCAUGGGAACAAAGUGGGGACCCCCUCCCUGCAACUCAUCCCAACACAAUACACACAGACCGGCACCAACCAACCUCCCUUCAAGACUCUGGACUGCUCAGAGAGUGGAGUGUCUCAAGUCUGCACGGAGAAAAAAAAAUGCUGUGGACUAAACAUCUGAACAAUUGGCACACACCGUCGAGGCUUUAUAGCGGCAGGCCAGACUGUCUGGCGAGGUGAGAGCCUGAGGAACUCAUCCAAACCCAAGUCCUUUAUAUGAGAUUGAGUCAUCUCCCAUGCAAUCGACAGGAUGUAGGAGGUUGCAGUCCAGGCUGAUCAAAGAAAUGAAA